CCUACGGGUGGCUGCAGUGGGGAAUAUUGGACAAUGGGGGGAACCCUGAUCCAGCCAUGCCGCGUGUGUGAAGAAGGCCCUCGGGUUGUAAAGCACUUUCAGUGAGGAAGAACGCCUGGUGGUUAAUACCCAUCAGGAAAGACAUCACUCACAGAAGAAGCACCGGCUAACUCCGUGCCAGCAGCCGCGGUAAUACGGGGGGUGCGAGCGUUAAUCGGAAUUACUGGGCGUAAAGCGCGCGUAGGUGGCUUGAUAAGCCGGUUGUGAAAGCCCCGGGCUCAACCUGGGAACGGCAUCCGGAACUGUCAAGCUAGAGUGCAGGAGAGGAAGGUAGAAUUCCCGGUGUAGCGGUGAAAUGCGUAGAGAUCGGGAGGAAUACCAGUGGCGAAGGCGGCCUUCUGGACUGACACUGACACUGAGGUGCGAAAGCGUGGGUAGCAAACAGGAUUAGAUACCCCAGUAGUC
rnacentral:rRNA from 1 species